rnacentral:rRNA from 1 species
UACGUAGGUGGCAAGCGUUGUCCGGAUUUACUGGGCGUAAAGAGCGCGCAGGCGGUCGGAUAAGUCGAAUGUGAAAGCCCCCGGCUCAACUGGGGAGGGUCAUUCGAUACUGUUCGACUCGAAGGCAGGAGAGGGAAGUGGAAUUCCCGGUGUAGUGGUGAAAUGCGUAGAUAUCGGGAGGAACACCAGUGGCGAAGGCAGCCCCCUGGGCCAACACUGACGCUCAGGCACGAAAGCGUGGGGAGCAAACAGG